GAUGAACGCUGACAGAAUGCUUAACACAUGCAAGUCUACUUGAACUUCGGUUUGGGUGGCGGACGGGUGAGUAACGCGUAAAGAACUUGCCUCACAGUUAGGGACAACAUUUGGAAACGAAUGCUAAUACCUGAUAUUAUGAUUUUAGGGCAUCCUAGGAUUAUGAAAGCUAUAUGUGCUGUGAGAGAGCUUUGCGUCCCAUUAGCUAGUUGGAGAGGUAACGGCUCACCAAGGCGAUGAUGGGUAGCCGGCCUGAGAGGGUGAACGGCCACAAGGGGACUGAGACACGGCCCUUACUCCUACGGGAGGCAGCAGUGGGGAAUAUUGGACAAUGGACCAAAAGUCUGAUCCAGCACUUCUGUGUGCACGAUGACGUUUUUCGGAAUGUAAAGUGCUUUCAGUUGGGAAGAAAAAAAUGACGGUACCAACAGAAGAAGUGACGGCUAAAUACGUG
rnacentral:rRNA from 1 species